rnacentral:rRNA from 1 species
CAACGAUCUGGGCACUGUCUCAACGAGAGACUCGGUGAAAUUAUAGUACCUGUGAAGAUGCAGGUUACCCGCGACAGGACGGAAAGCCCCCGUGGAGCUUUACUGCACCCUGAUAUGGAAUGUUUGUCCCGCUUGUACAGGAUGGGUAGGAGCCGAAGAGACGUGUGCGCUAGCAUACGAGGAGGCAAUGGUGGGAUACUACCCUGGCUGUAUGACCAUUCUAACCCGCCACGCUUAGCGCGUGGGGAGACAGUG